rnacentral:rRNA from 1 species
GAGUUUGCUCCUGGCUCAGAUUGAACGCUGGCGGCAGGCCUAACACAUGCAAGUCGAGCGGUAGAGAGGUGCUUGCAUCUCUUGCGAGCGGCGGACGGGUGAGUAAUGCCUAGGAAUCUGCCUAGUGGUGGGGGAUAACGUUCGGAAACGGACGCUAAUACCGCAUACGUCCUACGGGAGAAAGCGGGGGAUCUUCGGACCUCGCGCCAUUAGAUGAGCCUAGGUCGGAUUAGCUAGUUGGUGAGGUAAUGGCUCACCAAGGCGACGAUCCGUAACUGGUCUGAGAGGAUGAUCAGUCACACUGGAACUGAGACACGGUCCAGACUCCUACGGGAGGCAGCAGUGGGGAAUAUUGGACAAUGGGCGAAAGCCUGAUCCAGCCAUGCCGCGUGUGUGAAGAAGGUCUUCGGAUUGUAAAGCACUUUAAGUUGGGAGGAAGGGUAGUAACCUAAUACGUUGCUACUUUGACGUUACCGACAGAAUAAGCACCGGCUAACUUCGUGCCAGCAGCCGCGGUAAUACGAAGGGUGCAAGCGUUAAUCGGAAUUACUGGGCGUAAAGCGCGCGUAGGUGGUUCAGCAAGUUGGAUGUGAAAGCCCUGGGCUCAACCUGGGAACUGCAUCCAAAACUACUGAGCUAGAGUACGGUAGAGGGUAGUGGAAUUUCCUGUGUGGCGGUGAAAUGCGUAGAUAUAGGAAAGGACACCAGUGGCGAAGGCGACUACCUGGACUGAUACUGACACUGAGGUGCGAAAGCGUUGGGGAGCAAACAGGGAUAGAUACCCUUGGUAGUUCACCGCCGUAAACGAUGUCGACUAGCCCGUGGGGAUCUUGAGAUCUUAGUGGCGCAGCUAACGCAUUAAGUCGACCGCCUGGGGAGUACGGCCGCAAGGUUAAAACUCAAAUGAAUUGACGGGGCCCCGCACAAGCGGUGGAGCAUGUGUUAAAUUCGAAGCAACGCGAAGAACCUUACCUGGCCUUGACAUGCUGAGAACUUUCUAGAGAUAGAUUGGUGCCUUCGGGAACUCAGACACAGGUGCUGCAUGGCUGUCGUCAGCUCGUGUCGUGAGAUGUUGGGUUAAGUCCCGUAACGAGCGCAACCCUUGUCCUUAGUUACCAGCACGUUAUGGUGGGCACUCUAAGGAGACUGCCGGUGACAAACCGGAGGAAGGUGGGGAUGACGUCAAGUCAUCAUGGCCCUUACGGCCAGGGCUACACACGUGCUACAAUGGUCGGUACAAAGGGUUGCCAAGCCGCGAGGUGGAGCUAAUCCCAUAAAACCGAUCGUAGUCCGGAUCGCAGUCUGCAACUCGACUGCGUGAAGUCGGAAUCGCUAGUAAUCGUGAAUCAGAAUGUCACGGUGAAUACGUUCCCGGGCCUUGUACACACCGCCCGUCACACCAUGGGAGUGGGUUGCUCCAGAAGUAGCUAGUCUAACCGCAAGGGGGACGGUUACCACGGAGUGAUUCAUGACUGGGGUGAAGUCGUAACAAGGUAACCGUA